rnacentral:rRNA from 1 species
AAGCGUUGUUCGGAAUCACUGGGCGUAAAGGGAGUGUAGGCGGACAGGUAAGUUAAAAGUGUAAUCCACGGACUUAACCCGUGACUCGCUUAUAAUACUGGUACGCUUGAGUAUUGGAGAUGGAGAUGGAAUUCCAGGCGUAGCGGUGGAAUGCGUAGAUAGCCGGAAGAACACCAGUAGCGAAGCCGGUCUCCGGGCCCGAUACGGACGCUGAGGCUCGAAAGCGUGGGGAGCGAACAGGAUUAGAUACCCUGGUAGUCCACGCCGUAAACGAUGGACACUAGAUAUUGGCCUCUUCGGGGGUCGGUGUCGUAGAUAACGCGUUAAGUGUCCCGCAUGGGAAGUACGCUGGUAAGAGUGAGACUCAAAGGAAUUGACGGGGGCCCGCACAAGCGGUGGAGCAUGUGCUGGAAUUCGAUGCAACGCGAAGAACAUUACCUGGACUUGACAUGGGGGUGAAAGUUUUCAGAGAUGAUAACCCUUCAUUCGGGAACGCCCUACACAGGUGCUGCAUGGUUGUCGUCAGCUCGUAUCGUGAGAUGAUGGGUUAAGUCCCGCAACGAGCGCAACCCUUGUCCUUAGUCGCUCAACGGGUCAUGCCGGGAACUCUAGGGAGACUGCCUGGCACAACCAGGAGGAAGGUGGGGAUGACGUCAAAUCAUCAUGGCCAGUACGUCCAGGGCUAGACACGUGAUA